AAAGCUUAUUAAUGGAAGAGCUAAAGCAAAUUGGGGGAGGACUAUAAAAACCAAAGCAGUCAGAAAAAAUAAAUAUGCGUUGAUCAGAAAAACUAGAACUGUAACAGCAAAGAAAAGAAGAAUUAAAAGAAAAUUAACUUACGGAUGAGAAUAAAGAGCAGAAAAUUGAAUAUAGAAUGCAAUAGCAGCAGAUGAAUCCAAGUUUAAUAAAGCAUCGUAGGCAAUAGCAAGAAGAAAAACAGUAGCAACAGAGCAACAACAAAAUAAAAAUAGAUUGAGCUGAAUCAACCUCUUAAUAGCAGAAACAGUGAGUCAAAAACAAAAUAAAACUAUUUUCUGUUUCAAAAUCUACUUUGACACUCAAGAAAAGGAAAGAAAUUAGUGUGAAAUAAAGAAAUCUUUUGAUUCCUUUAAAUUGAAUAUG
rnacentral:lncRNA from 1 species